AGAUUGGGUGAGAUAGGUUUCGACAUCUUCUACAAAUUGAGCUCCCGGUAUUCCUCUUCUCUCUGUUGUUGAUAAUGAAGAAGACGCCAUUCUCUUCUAAAUAAAAGAUAGAUGAAAGCAAAGAGACAUCUUUUAGAGCUUAAAGUUUCUACUUUCUGACUACAGUGUGUUUAGGAAUUCAGAAAGAGGAAGAUGAUCAGAAGACUUGCACAGGAGCGUAGGUGGGGAAAGGACAGAGACAGUUAUCUGGUGG
rnacentral:misc_RNA from 1 species